rnacentral:rRNA from 1 species
AUUGAACGCUGGCGGCAUGCUUUACACAUGCAAGUCGAACGGUAACAGGCCUUCGGGUGCUGACGAGUGGCGAACGGGUGAGUAAUGCAUCGGAACGUACCCAGAGGUGGGGGAUAACGCAGCGAAAGCUGUGCUAAUACCGCAUGUGAUCUGAGGAUGAAAGCGGGGGACCGAGCAGCAAUGUUUGGCCUCGCGCCUUUGGAGCGGCCGAUGUCGGAUUAGCUAGUUGGUGGGGUAAAGGCCUACCAAGGCGACGAUCCGUAGCUGGUCUGAGAAGACGACCAGCCACACUGGGACUGAGACACGGCCCAGACUCCUACGGGAGGCAGCAGUGGGGAAUUUUGGACAAUGGGCGCAAGCCUGAUCCAGCAAUGCCGCGUGCGGGAAGAAGGCCUUCGGGUUGUAAACCGCUUUUGGCAGGAACGAAACGGUGUCCGCUAAUACCGGGCGCUAAUGACGGUACCUGCAGAAUAAGCACCGGCUAACUACGUG